GAGUUUGAUCUUGGCUCAGGAUGAACGUUGGCGGCGUGCCUAACACAUGCAAGUUGAGCGUGGCCUUAGUUUACUAAGGUCUAGCAGCGGACGGCUGAGUAAUGCACGGGAACGUACCUCGCAGCGGGGCAUAGCCCAUCGAAAGAUGGGGUAAUACCCCCAUAGUCUCGAAAGAGUAAAGCCGUAAGGCACUGUGAGAGCGGCCUGUGUCCUAUCCAGGUAGUUGGUGGGUAAUGGCCUACCAAGCCUAUGACGGUAGCUGGUCUGAGAGGAUGAUCAGCCAGAUCGGAACUGAGACACGGUCCGAACUCCUACGGAGGCAGCAGUGGGAUAUUGCGCGAAUGGGCGAAAGCCUGACGCAGCGACGCCGCGUGGAGGAUGAAGGCCUUAGGGUCGUAAAC
rnacentral:rRNA from 1 species